GACGAACGCUGGCGGCGUGCUUAACACAUGCAAGUCGAACGAAGAGCGAUGGAAGCUUGCUUCUAUCAAUCUUAGUGGCGAACGGGUGAGUAACGCGUAAUCAACCUGCCCUUCAGGGGGGGACAACAGUUGGAAACGACUGCUAAUACCGCAUACGAUCUGACCUCGGCAUCGAGGAUAGAUGAAAGGUGGCCUCUAUUUAUAAGCUAUCACUGAAGGAGGGGAUUGCGUCUGAUUAGCUAGUUGGAGGGGUAACGGCCCACCAAGGCGAUGAUCAGUAGCCGGUCUGAGAGGAUGAACGGCCACAUUGGGACUGAGACACGGCCCAGACUCCUACGGGAGGCAGCAGUGGGGAAUCUUCCGCAAUGGACGAAAGUCUGACGGAGCAACGCCGCGUGAGUGAUGACGGCCUUCGGGUUGUAAAGCUCUGUUAAUCGGGACGAAAGGCCUUCUUGCGAAUAGUUAGAAGGA
rnacentral:rRNA from 1 species